UACGUAGGGCGCAAGCGUUGUCCGGAAUUAUUGGGCGUAAAGAGCUCGUAGGCGGCUUGUCACGUCGGGUGUGAAAGCCCGGGGCUUACCCCGGGUCUGCACUUCGAUACGGGCAGGCUAGAGUGUGGUAGGGGAGAUCGGAAUUCCUGGUGUAGCGGUGAAAUGCGCAGAUAUCAGGAGGAACACCGGUGGCGAAGGCGGAUCUCUGGGCCAUUACUGACGCUGAGGAGCGAAAGCGUGGGGAGCGAACAGG
rnacentral:rRNA from 1 species